UCCCUCGUAGCUCAGUUGGUAAAGAAUCUGCCUACAGUGCAGGAAACCCGGGUUCAAUUCCUGGGUAAGGAA
rnacentral:tRNA from 1 species